rnacentral:lncRNA from 1 species
UGAGAGAAAAGGUUUACUUGGGUUUAUUGUUCUGGAGGCUUUAGUCCAUAAUUGAAUGGACCCAUUUUUUGGGCCAGUGUUGAAGCAGGAGAUCAUGUCAAGAGUGUGCAAUAAAGCAAACCACUUACCUUGUGGCCUGGAAGUAAAGGAGGAAGAAGAAGAUACAGGGGCCCUACAGUCUCCUUCAAUGGCACCUUCCUCAUUUCCUAAGGACUUCUAGUAGGCUCCGUCUUCUAAAGGUUCCAUCACCUCCCAGUAGCACCACCCUGGGGACCAAGCCUUUAAAACAAAGACUUUUGAGGACACUUCCCCAAACUAUAGCAGGAUAACCAGGAAUUUGUUUCAGUACCUGGGAAAGAAUUAACAAGGCAUCAAUGGGGCAGAGCUGGAACACAUUAUUGAUGAGAGAACACAUUCUCAAAUUCAACCAGGAAGUGAUGGUACCAAGAUGGGGGACCACUUUGGCUGAACCUAAGACUUGUUCCUUUUAUCAAAGUGCUUUGAUAGGCCAUGAAUGUGUACAGCUGGCCCUCCUCAUCUACAGAUUCAACUAACUACAGGAAUUCAGCAAGAAGAUACUUCUGUGAAAAAGAAAGCGGAUCCUCACCAUAUAAUGAAUCUGCCUGUGCUG